rnacentral:lncRNA from 1 species
AGUGGUAAAUGACUCCAACUAGGAACCACGAGGUUGUGGGUUCAGUCCCUGGCCUCGCUCAGAGAGUUAAGGAGCCAGCGGUACUGUGAGCUGUGGUGUAGGUCGCAGAUGUGGCUUGGAUCCUGCAUUGCUGUGGCUAUGGCUGUGGCCGGCAGCUGUAGCUCCAUUGCAACACUUAGCCUGGGAACCUCCACAUGCUGCAGGUGUGGCCCUAAAAAGCAAAAAAAAAAAAAAAUUUUUAAAUACAAAAUAAGAAUCCUCUGGUGGCCUAGCAGUUAAGGAUUCAGUGUUGUCACUGCUAAGGAUCAGGUUGGAUCCCUGGCCCAGGAACUUCCAUAUGUCAUGGGUGUGGUCAAAAAAAAAAGAAAAAGAAAAUACAAAAUAGAAAUAUAAGUAGUGCAAGAGAAUACCCACUGUGAGCAUUUUAAUCAUUAUCCUUUUGGCCUUUUCUCUAUACACUCUUCAUGUCGUUUUUAGCCCUUCCUUCAUAUAAAAUUAGGACCAUAUUCUAGAUUCUGUUUUAUAACUGCUUUUUACAGCUUUCACCAUUAUGCAGUCGACAACCUUCCCAUGUCAUUAGCAUUCUUUUACUGCAUUUAAAGGGUUGCUAACUGUCCACUUGGAGUUCCAUCAUCUACAUAAAAAAUCAUCUCUUAUCUUCCUUCCUCCCUUCCUUCCUUCCUUCUUUCCUUCCUUUCUUUCUUGGCAUCACCAGCAGAAUAUGGAAGUUCCUGGGUCAGGCAUUGAACCUGCUGAAAAAUCAUUUUCCAUGUUUACAUUUGUUACAAAAAAUCAUUUAUGAUUUUUCAGUGUCAUAAACAAUAAUAUGUGAUGAUCAUUCUUUUUUUUUUUUUUUUUUUGGUCUUUUCAGGGCUGUACCCAUGGCAUAUGAAGUUCUCAGGCUAGGGGUCGAAUUGGUGCUGUAGGCGCUGGCCUACGCCACAGCCACAGCAAUGCCAGAUCUGAGCCAAGUUUUCGACCUACACCACAGCUCAUGGCAGCACCGGAUCCUUAACCCACUGACCGAGGCCAGGGAUAGAACCUGAGUCCUCAUGGUUUCUAGUUAGAAUCGUUUCCGCUGAGCCAUGAUAGGCACGCUCUGUGAUGAUCAUUCUUGUAGCUAAAUCUCUGCCCACAUCUGCGAUUUUUCCUUUAGACGCAAUUCUAGAAGUUGGGUGUCUGGGUAUAAAGAGAUGUAUACUCCUGAGGUUUAGACAUCUCCCAGUUAAUUUUUUAACAGUGGCAUAACAGUUUGCACUGAGAGUAUGAACUGAAAUAGAUUCCUGUCAGGUGGUUCUUAGAAUCCUGAGAGUGGAGUUCCGUUGUGGUGCAGUGGAAACGAAUCUGACUACUGUCCAUGAAGAUGUGGCUUCAAUCUCUGGUCUCAGUGGGUAGGAGAUCUGGCAUUGCCAUGAGCUGUGGUGUAGGUCGCAGACAUGGCUUGGAUCCUGCAUCGCUGUGGCUGUGGUAGAGGCCUCAGCUGUAGCUCCCAUUUGACCCCUAGCCUGGGAACUUCCAUAUGCUCUGGGUGUGGCCAAAAAGAAAAAAAAAAAAAAUCCUGAGAGCAACAACAGUGACAGCAAUGACAAUGUUAAUAAUUGUCUGGUACCUGUUACAUCUCUUCAUUUAUUUCCCAGCAAAAACCUAGCUAGAUGGGGAUUAAUUGGUACCUUUGACAAACAAAGACACAGGUUCAAGAGAAGGACCGUAUUCAAGUUCUUUCAGAAGAAGGCUGGAUGCAAAGCUGGACCUGUCUAACCCAAAGCCCUCUGCCCACUCCAUGGUGUCUUCUAGGGACUGGAAAAUCCUUUUGCUGUACUGUACCAGGGAGCCCAACUGGGCUAGUGACCCCGGUAAGCUACAAUAGCAGUGGUUAAUAAUGAUCAUAGUAAGAGCUAAUACUCAACUGAUGCUAAUAGACUGAAUAGGAAAGCAAGUGGGAUUGAGAGACGGAAAAAAAGAAUGAAUCUGGAAGGGUGGGUGCAUACGGGGAGGGAUUCUGAGUCAGAUGGAAGUUACAAGAAGAUAAAAAAUUGAAAUCGCAUGUCAACCCACUUGUUGCUGACAUGUCACGAGCUUGUACAAGCUUCCUCAGUCACCAGGACACCAGGCUGUUGGCCUCAUUCCCCUGUAGUAACAUUGAUAAGUACAUUCCACUGAGACCAGAUGUAGCUGUGAGAGGCCAGGAGCUCGUUUACUAGAAGACACAAAAGGGGUGGAGGGGUUGGUGCAAAUUUUCAAUCGUGUCUUGGAGUUUUUGUGAAAGGCCAAGAUGGGAAACUUUCUGGGGAUGUUCCAGUGAAAUUCUGGAUCAAGCUGCAUACGUUUUUCCAUGAAGCUAUUAGGGCUGGCUACUCAAAAAUAGCAAGAGAACUCGUGUGUGUGUGUGUGUGUGUUUGUGUGUGUUUGUGUGUGUGUGUGUGUGUGUGUGUGUGUGUUUGAGUGAGAGAGAGAGAGAAAGAGGGAGAAAGAGAGCAUGAGCACAUGGGGACAUCCAUGCAAGAAACACUGUGAUUGACAAGUUUGGGGGAAACUGAAUAAUUUUUAACCAUUUGAUAAUUUGUUCUUAGUCCUGCUCCCUGCUGACUUACAUUUCCAUACAUGUUCUGCUUGUCAACUGAUAGGGUAAGUAGCUGGGAAGGUAUAGAGAAGAGAAGGGGAAGGGUGAGAAAAGGCUUUGGAUGCCACAAAUAGAGUUUCUAAUCCAAAUUUAGCCACCAAUCAGAUUUACAUAAGAGAACAAUAGCUAACAUGUAUUUCAGGAUCUGUGUUAAGUGCAUCUUCUAUAUCAUUUAACUUUCAAAGCCGCUCCACAGCAGAGAUUCUCCCAGGGUCCCUGUUUUAUAGAUGAGGAAACUGAAGAUCAGGAGGCCUAGGAAAAAUUUAUGGAAGAUAUAGGCAGAUUUGAGUUGGGGGCCAUCUAAAUUCAACAUUCUACUCUUCCUAUUUUUUUUUUUUUUCCUGUUUAGGGCUGUACCGCGGCAUAUGGAGAUUUCCAGGCUAGGGGUCGAAUUUGAGGUACUGCUGCCAGCCUCCACCAUAGCCACAGCGAUGCAGGAUCCUAGCCACUUUUGUGACUUACACCACAGCUCACAGCAAUGCCAGAUCUUUAACCCAUUGAUCAGGGCCAGGGAUCAAACCCACAUCCUCAUGGAUACUAGUCGAGUUCAUUACCACUGUGCCACAACUGGAACUCCAACAUUCUACUCUUCUGAAUGGCAUGACUUGGAGAGAAUUUUUAAGUCAGGCCUCAGUUUCUGUUCUUUAAAGUAGAGAUGAACACAGCUGACCCAGGCUACCGUCAGGGGACCUAAAUUAAGUGUAGUAUUUCACACCAGAGUCUGGCGCAUAAUAGGUCCUCAGUGAAUGUUACUUAUUCUCCUUGCCCAGGACUUUCAGAAGGGGAGAGGACAUAGGAAAAACCAAACCAAACCAAAAACCUGACUAGACUGGACAGAGGGCAUUGCUAUAAAAAAGAAGAAAAGUUCAGAUUCACCUUAGAUUCAAGAAUGCAAACAGGAUAAAGGACACUGGGCUCAGAACCACACAUAGACUGAUUUAGCCACAAGCUUGUGGAGGUGAGGGUAUUGUGUCUAAUUGGCAAAUGAAGAAGUGGUGCCCUAAAAGACUAAAUACCUUUCCCUAAGUCCUUUUGCUGGGAUUUUCUCCAAGGAGUGAACCUACUUGUUAUGCUUUUAUUUAUUUAUUUAUGUAUUUUUUGAGGAAGAAUGUACAUACCAUGGAAGUCACCUCUAGAAGUAUACAGUCUACUCUAUUCACAGAGAAGUGCAACCAUCACCACUAUGCAACUGUCUAAGUCCAGAGAAUUUUCAUUGCCCCAAAGAGAAUCUGCUGACUCAUGAACAGUCACUCCCAUUCCUCCCUCCCUUGGACCCAGCAGGCAGUUUGAAGAGUGGUCCUCGAUGUGGCUGCAAACAUGUCUAUUUCCUUCUUCCCAACCAACCAAUGGAGUGAGGGACUCUCCCCAUGCAGACUGAAGAGGUGUGAACUGAAGUCUGGCACUUGCCAUCAGCCUCUGCAUGGAGUAAAACAUGAGCCACUGAAGCUGCAGACCCGCAGCACUGCCUGAGUGGAGCUCAGCGUGGAGACCAGGCGUGAGGCUCUCUGUGCUCUGGGAAAACUGGAAGAACAGGCCUUCAGAUAGUUAGAUAUUUUUUUGGAGAAGCUUUUAUGAGCCCAAUUCUUGCAUCUCCUCAUAUCUAGAAAAACACUAAAAUCCUUCAAUGAUGACUGAUGUCUGUGACUAGUAUAUCUAGGAAAACACUACGCAUAUCUAGAAAAACACUAAAAUCCUUCAAUGAUGACUUCUAUAAAAUAUAUGCAUGGCUGCAUGCACUCCCCCUUCACCUUUAUGACUUAUAUAUUGAUACAGCCCUCUUUCCUCUUUAGGGUGGUAUUUCAGACCUAUCUGAAAUACUGCCUCAUGGGCUGUAGUUAGAGGACGAAACGAAAGAUAUCAUGGUCAUCUGCAACCACAACCACUCCCAAGGACGGGCCACUGAGCCCUGAGGGAACUCAGGGAAGAAACGAAGAAGACUGGCCCACAGUUGAGGUGCACAUCAAAGGAGCAACUCCAGGAAGCCCACACUUUGACAUCUUCCCAUAGAAACUGGUUUUCUGUCAAUCUGGUUAUCUGUAAAUCUUUUGUUCCUACUACCUUCCCUUUGUUGCAAAACUCACAUGGCACCCCCCACCUCACCUGCUCAGAGUGGUUUCUCAGGGCUACCUGAGAUGCUGUCUCUUGGGCUUAAGUCCUAAUGUCACCCCAAAUAAAACUUAACUCU